rnacentral:rRNA from 1 species
UGGGGAAUCUUGCACAAUGGGGGGAACCCUGAUGCAGCGACGCCGCGUGAGCGAUGAAGCCCUUCGGGGUGUAAAGCUCUUUCGGCAGGGAAGAUAAUGACGGUACCUGCAGAAGCAGCUGCGGCUAACUACGUGCCAGCAGCCGCGGUAAUACGUAGGCAGCGAGCGUUGUUCGGAGUUACUGGGCGUAAAGGGUGUGUAGGCGGUUGUUUAAGUUUGGUGUGAAAUCUCCCGGCUCAACUGGGAGGGUGCGCCGAAUACUGAAUGACUUCGAGUGCGGGGAGAGGAAAGUGGAAUUCCUGGUGUAGCGGUGAAAUGCGUAGAUAUCAGGAGGAACACCGGUGGUGUAGACGGCUUUCUGGACCGUAACUGACGCUGAGACACGAAAGCGUGGGUAGCAAACAGGAUUAGAUACCCUGGUAGUCCACGCCCUAAACGAUGCAUAUUUGGUGUUGGGCAAUUCAUUCUGUCCGUGCCGGAGCUAACGCGUUAAAUA